GACCAGCAACUCUCAAGGAAUUAUCUGGGAGGGCUGAGACUUAUGGUCAUGUAGACUGAACAGCUACCAGAUCCUUGGACUUUCUGUCAAGAGAUAACCAUUGUUGGAACAUUUGGACCACACACAGCCCGUCCCAAAGCAGAAACAUCUGAAGACAAUAAGGACACCUUAGACACACUGGACCUAUCUUUGGAGAAUUCAUCUGAAACAUGGACUUCAUCUUCAGGAUGUAUAUUCUUGAAAGAAAGGUCACUGGGCAAUUCAGAGCAAGGCAACGACCCAGCCCCACUCUGGACAUUAGCAAUUUCAAUUUUGUUGGAUGCUUCUAGGUCAGUGUAUUCCUUGGCUAAUUUAGAAGAAGAAUUGGUUUUAGAACUGACAAAUGUGGGAAAUUCAUCUAUUAUUUCAAUUGGAGAUGAAUCUGAAAAUGUUUCACUUUCUUUUAUUUUGUCUUCCUUAGAAGUAAGCAAGUCAUCGUUUGAAUAAAUUGCAGUAUUAAGCUCUUCCAUCUGCAAA